GGGAGUGUCUGUGAUGUCACAGGAGGGUUCCAUGAGCAAUAACUUAUAAGCUGAGACCUGCAGGAUGAACAGGAGUUAGGUGAAGAGGAGAACAAUGUCCAGGCAGGGGCCGGGGAAGCUCGUGCCAAGGCACUGAGGCACCAGGGGCACGAACAGUGUUGCCCGCAUGGAACUCACACUUAAUGGGAGCGGCAGCCAACAGGUCAUCUGGGCCAGGCGCGGUGGCUCAAGCCUGUAAUCCCAGCACUUUGAGAGGCCAAGGUGGGCGGAUCACGAGAUCAGGACCUCAAGACCAGCCUGACCAACAUGGUAAAACCCCGUCUCUACUAAAAAUACAAAAAUUAGCCAGGCGUGGUGGCACGUGCCUAUAAUCCCAGCUACUCUGGAGGGUGAGGCAGGAGAAUCGCUGGAACCUGGGAGGCAGAGGUUGCGGCGAGCCGAGAUCAUGCGAGGAAAUAAGGCCAUCUGGAAAUAUCCUUCCCAUCACAGGAUGAUAGCCAGCAAAUUCUUCAAAGCAGUGUUCUCCAACUUGAAUGUCUGUGAUGUGGGCGAUUCUGACUGAGGGGGUCUGUAGACCACAUCUUGAUAAACAAUGCUUUUUAAACAAUUCCUAGAAGAGAAUAUUUGAUUUCUGGAAGGAUAGAGAAGAAACUAAUAAGAGUGUUUACCUCUGAGGAGGAGAAUUGGGAAGCUGAGAGCAGAGGACGGAGGAAGACUUACUUUUCACUGUGUUCUUUUUUGUACCUUUUGAGUUUUGUACGACAUACUGAAUCUUUGACCUAUUUGCAAUUAUAAAUAAAGGCACAUUUAUUUGGCCGGGCGCGGUGGCUCAUGCCUGUAAUCCCAGCACUUUGGGAGGACGAGGUGGGUGGAUCACCUGAGGUCAGGAGUUAGUGACCAGCCUGGCCAACAUGGUGAAACCUCGCUCUACUAAAACACAAAAAUUAGCCAGAUGUGGUGGCAGGCACCUGUAAUCCCAGCUACUCAGGAGGCUGAGGCAGGAGAAUCGCUUGAACCCGGGAGGCAGAGGUUGCAGUGAGCUGAGAUCGCACCACUGCACUCCAGCCUGGGCAACAGAGUGAGACUCUGUCUCAAAAAAAAAAAAAAAAAAGAAAAAGAAAGAAAAAGAAAAUAAUUAGCCAGGCAUGGUGGCAGGCGCCUAUAAUCCCAGAUACUCAGGAGGCUGAGGCAGAAGAACUGUUUGAACCUGGGAGGCGGAGGUUGCGGUGAGCCAAGAUCACACCACUGCAUUCCAGCCUGAGCAACAGAGCAAGACUGUCUCAAAAAAAAAAAAAAAGUACAUUUACUUGAAAAAAAAAAAUAACUAAAAACAUAUGGCACAUUAUUCAAAUCCAAGGUGUAAAAAAACACCACAGGGCAUGGUGGCUCACGCCUGUAAUCCUCGCACUUUGGGAGGCUGAGGCGGGUGGAUCACCUGAGGUCUGGAGUUUGAGACCAGCCUGGCCAACAUGGUGAAACCCCAUCUCUACUAAAAAUACAAAAAAAUUACCCAGGCAUGGUGGCAGGCACCUGUAAUCCCAGCUACUCGGGAGGCUGAGGCAGGAGAAUCAUUUGAACCUGGGAGGCAGACGUUGCAGUGAGCCGAGAUCACACCAUUGCCCUCCAGCCUGGGCAACAAGAGUGAAACUCCAUCUCAAAAAAAACAAAAACAAAAACAAAAACCCACAAAAAACAAAAAACAACAACAACAAAAAAACAAACACCACAAACAUGACCACCUGCCGUGACCUCCCUGGACUGAUUGACCCACAGGAAAGCCAGCAAGCUUGUUCCUGAGGCGUUUGGGAAUUUCAUGCACUGCUGCCCAGCUCUGGUCACACAGGGUCACCCAGAGACUCAAGGAAAAAGGGGAGGCGUCACCCAAUCAGUCUCUCCCUCAGGUGUGGCAUCCAAGCUGGCUAAAGGGUGGCAGGUCCCAAACUGUCCAUGUUUCUCUUACGGGAGCUGCCGAAGAUGGCAGAGAUGUUAAAACAAAACACAAACAAACAAACCCAAUACACCCAGGAGGCCACCUGAGCUCCCACAAUGCUGGCUGUAUACCUUAUAAAAACUGCCUGGAUAUGUUGUGCUACCUGUGUAUUCGUCUGUGCCCUACCCCCACAGUGUCAAUUCCACCAAGGCAGGGACCGUGUCUUGUUCAUCUUUGUGCAUCCAGUGCCUAAGCCCAGCCCUGUUUAUGAACUGGAGGCAAACACCUUUGGAAGGAAGGCUACUCCCAGCCCCUCGCCAGGCAUCUGUGUUACUGUGGCUUCUGCUCCACCAACGACUAGCAGUUCGCAGCUUCUAAACGGCGUUCCCUCUGUUGCAGCUGAGCUUCCUGCAAUCCUGUAAAACAGGCUCUAUUGCUAUUAUCACCAUCUUCAUUGAACCAAUGAAGAAAGCAGUCUUGUGUCUACCAUCUUACCAUCUUGUAUUUUGUGGUGUGCCGUUGGCCACUUCACUUUUUUCCUUUGGUUUUGCACCUGUAAAAUGGGUGCCGUUAUUUCUGACAUACCCAUGAGCCAGAGGACAUGUCAGAAUCAAGGGGUCAAAGUGGCUAUGAGGCCAGAAGCUGUAAAGAAGGAGCAGAGAUCAAAUUCAAACCUAGCAUCUUUCCUUUUUUUUUUU